CUUACAAUUAUAGCUCGUCCAAAUGCACCAGCACUGACAUAGGCCCAUGAUCCUGGAAGCAUUCCCAACCAACUGCAUGACAAUGGUAGAAAGAUAUCUGAGCCAACAAGGUUUUGACAAAAAGAAAAUGCCAUACUGGAAUCAUGGAAGAACAGGAGUUGGUAGAAACUAACCUUCCCAAGACAUAAGGCAAGAACUUCACUGAAGUCAAGCCAUACAAGUAGUUCCCAAGAGAGAAAGGUAAUAGGGGACUAAGCCGCAGCAGAGUAACAACCUUAAAUCCAUUUUCACCUAUUGCUUUGUCAAUUGCCAGAAACUUCUUGUUUCCUUCAACCAAUUUGAGAAUUCGCUCUCUGGCAAAGUAUCUAGCAAUAAGAAAGGCCACUGCUGCAGCUAG